GUGGAAUCAUCUGGCAAAUGCAAUGCUGAUGGACCUUAACCCUCCAAGAUGUGGAAAUGAAGAGCUACAGCCAGACAGGAAUUGGUGGAAACAAGUGGAAAAGAGAAGACUGAUGUUGACCUUUCCAAUAGCAAGACAUAUCACCGUGGAUAACUGUCACAGAUCAGCGUGCUUUGAUGUUUUGGUGACAGUACCCUGUAGGAGACUCAGAUAAAGUCAUGUGGAUGUGCUUGACAAUAUGAAUGACAAGGAGCCCUCAGAAAAUAAAAGUAUUGAAGAGGCAAAUCCUUGUGAUCAUGUUUGGAGAAAGACAAAGAAAUGACAAUUAAUGCAGGAAGCCAGAUCUGUGAAGCACACAUGUACAAGCACAUCCGUUUACAAUAUUAUUUUUUUAUUGUCCAAAACAAAUUUUUUGAAACAUUUGUUUUGGAAAUGGGUGUCUGAGUUGUAAGAGCUAGGGUAUGGGGUCACCUACUCAGACACGUGGGUUUUCUCCGGGUGCUCCGGUUUCCUCCCACACUGACCCCAUUCUUUU